rnacentral:lncRNA from 1 species
CAAUAAACAGGGUUCUUCUAUGGUUUCUUUUUCAGUUCCUGCCUGAGCGCUCCUAUGUUGAGGCCUUCGACAAUGGAGCUGACCUGGAAGUGUCUCAGUUGCUUUUGAUCAGGGUGGCCACUCACAGCAACAGAAAACAAAUCAGACUACAAGUCUAUUCCUUUUUUUCCAUUCUCCCCCAGGUCUCUUUUCAAGAAGAUUUAUUAUUCAGUGCAUCAACAUUUACCAUGGAGGGAACUCUGGACUUAACAGAAUUUCCCUAGUGCUCCUGUCAAUGGGGCCAAACAGCCUGGCCUCCAUUUGCCCUCCCAAUAAAGUAAAAAUGUCCCCACUGAGAUGAUCUUUG